rnacentral:rRNA from 1 species
GACAGAGGGUGCGAACGUUGUUCGGAAUUACUGGGCGUAAAGCGCGUGUAGGCGGCAACGCAAGUCGGGCGUGAAAUCCCACGGCUCAACCGUGGAAGUGCACUCGAAACUGCGUAGCUAGAGUCCUGGAGAGGAAGGUGGAAUGCUUGGUGUAGAGGUGAAAUUCGUAGAUAUCAAGCGGAACACCGGUGGCGAAGGCGGCCUUCUGGACAGUGACUGACGCUGGGACGCGAAAGCGUGGGGAGCAAACAGG